GGGGGAGUCAUUUAGCUAAUUAAUAUUUUGCUUGUCAAUCAAGUGAAGAGAGGACUCGUAUUCUUCUGUUCUUCCCCAGCUGACUUCAACAUUACUUGUUAUAAAAUCAGAGUUGUUGAAUGCAACUUCAUUUGCAGCUCGCUGAUGAGUGAUGUCUGUAUAUAUUUUCGUUCUUCAAUUACCUACUAUUUUCAACGAGUUUACGUACGCUCAUGAUCACUCAAAGGGAAGCCUUGUUCUCUCUCUCUCUCUCUUUUGGAAGAUUACUUUGUGUGUCAAUCGAUCACCCAUUUGAAUUAUGUUAAUAUAUUUUAUCGUGGGUGAGACCAGUGAUGUAUUGAGAUAUUGCCGACAUUGUCUGAUUAUCUUAUUUUAGAUAAUGACGUGUUCAAAUCUCUGAGGUCUGCUAACACCUUUCCUUUCGUUUUCGUACCAUCAUGAUCUAUCAUUUGCCCAUGUCAUUUAUUUACUAUAAUAAAAGUUACUUUUGGCUUGCUUUGUCUCGUGUUUUUCUUGAAGUGUCUUUUUUCUAUUAUUCAUCAAUAAUUUCACCUGUUAAUUGUUAGGCGGUGAUUCAUGAUUCAUGGACACUGUUAUUUGCCUUAUAUAUCCUUUUUCAACAUUGAUUAUAUUCUUCUCUGUUUAUCACAUUUAUACUUUUGUCACUUUCUCUCCCUAGACGUAAAUAUUGAAUGGUCCAUCGUCCAUGCAACAUUUUUCUUAAUAGUUUUUUUUUUUAAUUUUAGAAAAUGGUUGCUAAAUAUAUUUUUUUACUUAAAAUAUUUCUUGAGCACUUGACUAUUUGAAUUUUGAAAUUUCGUUCAAAUGAGAUGAUCAAUUUCUUUUCGUGUCAUCACCAUCCGUUUUUACGGGUUUUGCCACUGUGUAUCCUAGCUUGUCCGAUGUUAGAUACCCUGUCUCAUAUGAUUUUGUUCUCUAAUUCACUCUUCUUUUUCUGGUUUUCUCUCUUGCAUUAAUUUUUGUUUCGUCGAUUCACUUUUUUUUUUCUUAUCCUUUUUGCCAGGGAUGCUGUCAUGCAUCUAAGGUAGAGCUUUUGCCUUUCUUCAACCAACUCCUCUCCCAUAGUUGUCAUUGUACGUUGCACUCCUUUAUCUCCCAUAGUUGUCACUGUUGCACUCUUUAGGUUGUUCUGCACUGCUGCUUUCUAUUUCUUUAGCAGAUUUGAAGUUUGGAGACAGAGAGGUGACCUUGACAAAGAGUUGGUAUUGCUUCUUUAAGAUAAGCCCCAUGCUUUUGCAGCUUUGCUUCUAUACAAAAUUAUUGGAUAACAUUUCCAUUAAUCUGUCUGAAAUGAAAGUAGAAUAUUGUACAGGGGAGGCAAGAUGUGUGUGAAGUACAUGCUAAAGGAGUUAGGUAAAUGUGAAUGUUACUGAUUCUGAUAUUACAAAUGCUAAUCUGAGAAAUGUUAUACAGAGGGGUAGGAUACAUAGAAAGUCGCGCACAAGGCUGAUUCAGUGUGGAUGGGAGAGGGUAUUUUAGGUAGUAAAUGCUGUGAAGGAAUACUGUGGAUGGAUCACACAAAAAACAUACUUUGUAGGACCAAUGCCGGGAGCACAUUCAGCGGGUUCUCUGGUUUAUGCAGGGGAUCAAUCAAUUUUUUUCAUACUUGUUUUGUUCUUAUCUUCUGGUUUACUGAUAUCAGUGCUUUGUUUUGAAUCAUAUUAAUGAUGACCAAUGUUUUGUUUAUUUGGUUAUGUACAUGGGUUGGGGUACCCUCCUUGUACCCCCAUCAAUAUAUUUUGUCCUUAAAUAACA